ACUGCAGAGUUUGCACGCUUACAGGUCAAAUUCACAAUAUGUUGCGAUUACCUUCAAAAGUUGAUCCAGAAGAACAAAAGAAAAUAGCUAGAACGGGAUGUAUACAGAGUUUUUGCAUAUUUGCUGUAACAUGUGCCGUUAUUCGAUCUUUGCCAUACAUCAUGAAGCAAAUUAACUCUUAAUACAAGGAGACAAGUGUUCACAAUACAAGACUGCAUUUCGAUGAUUUAUAUCCAGAAAUAGGCACCAGACCAGAUGCUGCUUAACAAACUAUUUCUUAGAGGAUAUGUAAUAUUAAUAUAAGCAAAGCAGAUGUUAUUAAAUGCAUUAUUAUUAAAUGCAUUAUGCCGCAA